rnacentral:lncRNA from 1 species
UACGCAUGUUUUGCCUGCAUGUAUGUCUAUGAAGUACCUUCAGAAGCCAGAGGGACUCUGGGAUUGGAGUUACAGGCAGUUGUGAGCCACCAUGUGGGUGUUGGGAAUGGAAUCUGGGACUCCUGAAAGAGCAGCAAUGCUUUUAACUGCUGAGCCACCCCUACAGCCCCUGGACUACACUCCAUAUAGGUUCCCACUGUCUCUAUAUUGCCAUUCAAUGGACCCAGCCCCAACACCUGAGCCUAGGCUCAAAUCAUAGCAUAUCUGACAUUCACAGAAAAAGCUGCAUCUCCCUUAGAGACCCAGCAGACUGCUGGAUCUUGGCUGAGGAAGGUGGCAUGGUUAUGGAGAGAGUGUGUUUAAAAGUGGCUACUCCUUGUUGGUUUCUCCUCUGAAAUCCCUUGCCUGAAUCCUAAAUUGUAGAGAAAGGCUACACCUAAAUGGUUAAGGUGUUAACUGGGAAAUAACUUUUUUUUAGAUCUAUGGAGCCCAAACAUCUGGCACCCUCUGAUGACAUCAGGAUGUGUGUAACACCCCUCCUUAUUCUUCAGUUCUAUGAGUCAGCUAACACAGAGCACGGAAAUUGCUGUGAGAUUUAACUUGAGAGAAAGUCAUUCAUGCUGGACCCAUCAAAGAGAACACAGCUGCCUCCCUCUUCUCCAUGUCACCACACCAUCUCACAGAAAAGAAGACUUAGUAAUGGCACACCUGGAUGGACUCUGUCACAAGAUAUUGUCUGUUCCCCUGGCUCAUUCCAAUUCUAAAGAGAAUCAUUUUAUUCCCUCUAGCUCAUUCCAAUUCCAAAGAGAAUCAUUUACAAGAUAUUAUCUCUCUCUGGGGCUCAUUCAAAUUUCCAGAGAAUCAUUUACAAGCUAAUUUCUACCUCCUGAGUCCAUUCAUCUUCCCUAAAAUCAUUUACUAUCCCUCAAAAUUACCUAUAGUCUCCACCUUUCUCUGCCUUACAAAGAAAGGUAUUUAUCCCCCCUCGAUUGUGCAGGCACCCACUGUCCUGUGAUUUUCCCCUUGCGAGUUAAACACAUUUGCAUGACUUUUCUCCUGUCACUUUGUCUACUUUGAGUUCAUAUUAGCAGACCCUCAGAGGGUCAGUAAUAGAAGACAUUCACUAUACAGCCUUGGCUGUCCUGGAGAUCCGGCCACCUGCCCCUGCCUUUCGAGUACUGGGAUUAAAGGCAUACACCCACCAAGCCCAGCCUUUUUGAUGACUCUACUGUCUCCCUUGGCACCAAAGAGGGCAGGUGUCUGUGCUAGUAAAAGGGUUGAUCAACAGGAUAAAGCGAAACCAAAGUUCUCUGAAGAAAACAAUUUUUUCAUUUAUUUAUUUUAAUUUUGUAUGUGUGUAUGCAGAUUAUGUGUGUAUUCAAGGGUGUGUGUGUGUGUGCAGGUAUGUGUGGGUGCAAGAAUGUGUAUCCAGGGAUGUGUGUGUGUGUACAGGUAUGUGUGUAUGUGCAGGUGUGUAUGCAGAUAUGUGUAUGCAGGUGUGUGCGUAUGCAGGUGUGUGUGUGUGUGUGUAUAUGUAAGUGUGUGUGUGUGUGUGUGUGUGUGUGUGUGUGUGUAUGCAGGUGUGUGUAUAGGCAGGGAUGUGUGUGUAUGU